GACGAACGCUGGCGGCGUGCCUAAUACAUGCAAGUAGAACGCACAGUUUAUACCGUAGCUUGCUACACCAUAGACUGUGAGUUGCGAACGGGUGAGUAACGCGUAGGUAACCUGCCUGGUAGCGGGGGAUAACUAUUGGAAACGAUAGCUAAUACCGCAUAAUAUUAAUUAUUGCAUGAUAAUUGAUUGAAAGAUGCAACUGCAUCACUACCAGAUGGACCUGCGUUGUAUUAGCUAGUAGGUGAGGUAACGGCUCACCUAGGCGACGAUACAUAGCCGACCUGAGAGGGUGAUCGGCCACACUGGGACUGAGACACGGCCCAGACUCCUACGGGAGGCAGCAGUAGGGAAUCUUCGGCAAUGGACGAAAGUCUGACCGAGCAACGCCGCGUGAGUGAAGAAGGGUGUCGGAUCGUAAAGCUCUGUUGUAAGAGAAGAACGGGUGUGAGAGUGGAAAGUUCACACUGUGACGGUAUCUUACCAGAAAGGGACGGCUAACUACGUG
rnacentral:rRNA from 1 species